AUACGUAGGGUGCGAGCGUUGUCCGGAAUUACUGGGCGUAAAGAGCUCGUAGGUGGUUUGUCGCGUCGUCUGUGAAAUUCCGGGGCUUAACUCCGGGCAUGCAGGCGAUACGGGCAUAACUUGAGUACUGUAGGGGAGACUGGAAUUCCUGGUGUAGCGGUGAAAUGCGCAGAUAUCAGGAGGAACACCGGUGGCGAAGGCGGUUCUCUGGGCAGUAACGGACGCUGAGGAGCGAAAGCAUGGGUAGCGAACAGGAUUAGAUACUCUGGUAGUCCAUGCCGUAAACGGUGGGCGCUAGGUGUAGGGGUCUUCCACGACUUCUGUGCCGUAGCUAACGCAUUAAGCGCCCCGCCUGGGGAGUACGGCCGCAAGGCUAAAACUCAAAUGAAUUGACGGGG
rnacentral:rRNA from 1 species